AAACAAAGAUAAAAACAAAUAACAAUAAACUUCGUUCAAGUGUAAAAAUUGAUUGUAGCUCAUGGAAUUCGGUGUUUCGAAAUUUACGUUACCGCGAACAAAAAAAUGAUUAAAUUUCAAAGAUACAUUACAUUAUGCGAUUAAAUUAAUACGAAUCUAAACAAGUCGAUAUUAACUAUCGUAAUCAAUAAUAUAUUCUUAUCAAAGAUAUACUUAAGUUUAACUAAUUAUAUGUAUAUAUAUACAUAUAUAUAUAUCAUGUGAUUCUUUGUGAACUUAAGUUGAUUAGAUGAUCAAUGUAUUGACAUUGUAAACGUGUAGAUCUUGUACAUAGAAAAUUGUUUAUAAAGUUAGAAGCUUUUGGUUACAGAUGAAGCAAAUUCAUAGACAUAUUCUGUUGUAUUUUUUAAAGUAGAAUUGCAUGGAAGUGGAAAAUAAUACUUGCGUAUGCGAGGAAACUUUUCCAUUAUCAUUUUAGUGACCAAUAUAAAUGAAGGUUUAGAAAUUAAUUAAUGCAAAUUGUGGAAUAAAAUGAAUAUUCUUUAUUGUUAAAAUUAUAUUAUUAAAUUGUAGAGCUAAAUGAAGGUGUAAAAUUAUAAUAGCACAAAAUGAAUAAAAUAAAUAGUAUAUGUAUGUACAUCCAAUUUCUCGCACAAAAUAAUGUAAGUUAGAAGUAAUAAAAAAUUAAUUAUUGACAUGCAAAAGAAUUACUCACAGAUAUACAUUGUGUUGAGUCAUUCA